GAAAUGCGAUAAGUAGUGUGAAUUGCAGAAUUCAGUGAAUCAUCGAAUCUUUGAACGCACAUUGCGCCUUCUGGUAUUCCGGGAGGCAUGCCUGUUCGAACGUCAUCAAGCCCCUCGCCUGCAACCGUUGCUUGCAACGGCUGCUACAGGCGGCACCUGGCGGAUGUGUGCCGACACAAGGACACGCACCGCCGAAAUGCACUGGCGGACCCCUCACGGCUGCGAUUGUGAUAAGAAUUUACUUACGAUUGCAAGACUGAAGGGCGUCCAGCCGCAGACAUCCUGAUGCCCUCCACGGGGCGUACGGGCGCAACCACAUCUUUUGACUUCGAAUCAGGUAGGGAUACCCGCUGAACUUAA
rnacentral:misc_RNA from 1 species